UCCCUGGUAGCUCAGAUGGUGAAGCGUCUGCCUGCAAUGCAGUAGACCCGGUUUUGAUUCCUGGGUUGGGAA
rfam:Ovis aries breed Texel chromosome 5, whole genome shotgun sequence.